rnacentral:rRNA from 1 species
CGGAUUGUAGGCUGCAACUCGCCUACAUGAAGUCGGAAUCGCUAGUAAUCGCGGAUCAGCAUGCCGCGGUGAAUACGUUCCCGGGCCUUGUACACACCGCCCGUCACACCAUGAGAGUUUGUAACACCCAAAGCCGGUGGGUAACCUUUUGGAGCCAGCCGUCUAAGGUGGGACAGAUGAUUGGGGUGAAGUCGUAACAAGGUAGC